rnacentral:tRNA from 1 species
UGGAUUUAGUUUAAUUAAAAUUUUUGUUUUUGGUGCAUAAGAUAUUUUCCAAGUUAUUU